GAUGAACGCUGGCGGCGUGCCUAAUACAUGCAAGUCGAGCGAACGGACGAGAAGCUUGCUUCUCUGAUGUUAGCGGCGGACGGGUGAGUAACACGUGGAUAACCUACCUAUAAGACUGGGAUAACUUCGGGAAACCGUAGCCAAUACCGGAUAAUAUUUUGAACCGCAUGGUUCAAAAGUGAAAGACGGUCUUGCUGUCACUUAUAGAUGGAUCCGCGCUGCAUUAGCUAGUUGGUAAGGUAACGGCUUACCAAGGCAACGAUGCAUAGCCGACCUGAGAGGGUGAUCGGCCACACUGGAACUGAGACACGGUCCAGACUCCUACGGGAGGCAGCAGUAGGGAAUCUUCCGCAAUGGGCGAAAGCCUGACGGAGCAACGCCGCGUGAGUGAUGAAGGUCUUCGGAUCGUAAAACUCUGUUAUUAGGGAAGAACAUAUGUGUAAGUAACUGUGCACAUCUUGACGGUACCUAAUCAGAAAGCCACGGCUAACUAC
rnacentral:rRNA from 1 species